AUUCCUGAUUCGGGUGUAAAAUCUGCGUGUACCGUACCCGAAAAGUCACAUGGUAUAGCCACAUUGGCACUGACCUUGGAACUUUAAUCAAAUUCUUUUAGGUUAAAAGGUUAAAUGUCAAGGUCAUUUGGACCUGUUAUAUCAAAACAUAAUAUAUAACACUGGACAUGAUAUCACAGUUAAUGACCUUGAAACUUGAACUUCUAUUCAUGUAUGAAGAUGUACCCUGAUGAAUUCUGCCCUACCCUCUCAAGUCGAACGGUUAAAUUACUAGCAACUGUGGGAAAAUAAAGUGUGUUUCUCCUCGGAUUAUUCUUAUUAUGCUUAAUACUCAACACAAUUGCUAAUCAAACGUAAUACACUAUGAGCAUAUAAUAUACAGACCCAGUACACUUGGUGCGUGUAUUUUUGAACUGUAGAAUUAUAUUGUUUGCCAAUGUUACAAGAAAUGCGUGUUUGUACAAAUAUAGGGGUUAACGAAAACUGCCUAUUUACUUUUUUUUUUGACAGAACUUUCAAAGAAACUAUUUUUUGCUACAUUGGCAACGAUUUUUCCCGUGAGCAAUUGUGGUUUUCAUUGCUGAUACUUGCAAAAAUAUUAUAUUUUGAAUAUAUAUUAGGUAAAACAUAUAUUCUAGCCCAGGUCGCAUAAGUGUCAAAUGAGCUAAAAUGAGCUUCCUUAUCUCGUGUACGUUCUUUUCGAGUUUGUUACAACUAAAAAUAAAAACACGUUUUAUCCGGUGUACGGUACCGUGUUUACAAUUGUACACGGAGUUUAUUUUGAGAAAAUCUGUUUACUUUAUUUCAGAUAAUUCAAUACUGUAUCCGGAAGCAUUUAUAUGUUUGCUGGUGAUAGCUGUGCUAUCGUUGAUAGCAAAUGGUGUCGCUUUAUAUAGAAAAUUUAAUCAACAGAUCUGCAAAGUUCGACCGUCGAAGAAUUCCAUAUCAACUGAAGAUUUGACGAAUGGGGAAGCAUUUAAGCAUAUUGCUAAUGACUCGAGAGCAAAUACAAAUUUGUCAACAUUUAAUAAGAAUGAAGGUAGUGUUCCAAACGCCAGCACGUGUGAUGUCAGCUUCAAUGUCACAACAAAUGACAAUUUUAAUAACUAAAACACAGAACAAGGAACAUUAUUCUUUCAAUUCUCGAUUGAAACAUCUGUCAUACGGAAUGACAUCCUUUUAUAGACACUUAGGGUGUAGAUCUCAAAACGCAUUUAAAUUCCCAUUAAUAAAAAUGUAUUUUUGUCGAUCUCAGCACAUGAACUUAUCAUAUAUAUAUAUAACUUAGUAUAAGCCUUUUUCAAAUAAAAUUCAGUAAAAAAGUGCGAUAAAAGUUUGAAGAUCAUUGUCCCACUCAAAAGGGAUGGAUUAAGAAUAAAAAUAGAAUUCUACAACUAAAAAUUUAUAGACACUUGGGGUGAAGAUCUGAAAACGCAUUUAAAUUCCCAUUAAUUGAAAUGUAUUUUGUAGAUCUCAGCACAUGAACUUAUCAUAUAUAUAUAACUUAGUAUAAGCCUUUUUCAAAUAAAAAUCAGUAAACAAGUCGCGCUAAAAUUUUGAAGAUCUUUUUCCCACUCAAAAAGGGAUUAAAAUUGGAAUUCUACAACAAAAAUUUAUAAUUAGGAUAUGAAUAUAAUUUCUACAACAAAACAUUAAAAGCUACAUAUAUGAAUAUUUCGUGCACUUACUGAACCGACUACGUGACCCGAGACAAGGGGAUAAGAGAAACGGAUCUGACUUGUAUCCGCUAUUUGGCUUAUUUUUUCAGGGGUUGAUAUCGUUUUGUAUAUGGUUAUGACACAAAAAAGAAAGAAUAUCAAACCCACGAAAGUUCACUCAUACAAUUUGAAAAAGCUUCGUGUCAUCUUUUGUCUGACUCAUUUCUGUUUGAUCGCAAUUGUAUUAUUUAUUUUAUGAUUCAACAUUUAAAGAAGUUAACGUAGACAGUGGAUUUAAUACAUUUACCACAUUUCUAUCAUAGCAUUUCAUUUCUUUCAUUAUUUUACAUGUGUUUAUAUGAAUAUGCAUAUACGAUUAUUACUUUCGAAAUGGAUUUGCUAAUAAACAAGUAUAUGUUAA